rnacentral:rRNA from 1 species
AGAGCGAACGCUGGCGGCAGGCCUAAUACAUGCAAGUCGAACGCACCUUCGGGUGAGUGGCGGACGGGUGAGUAACACGUGGGAACGUGCCCUUUGGUUCGGAAUAAUCCGGGGAAACCUGGCCUAAUACCGGAUGUGCCCUUCGGGGGAAAGAUUUAUCGCCAUUGGAGCGGCCCGCGUCUGAUUAGCUAGUUGGUGGGGUAAAGGCCCACCAAGGCGACGAUCAGUAGCUGGUCUGAGAGGAUGAUCAGCCACACUGGGACUGAGACACGGCCCAGACUCCUACGGGAGGCAGCAGUAGGGAAUCUUGCGCAAUGGGCGAAAGCCUGACGCAGCCAUGCCGCGUGAAUGAUGAAGGUCUUAGGAUUGUAAAAUUCCUUCAGCGGGGAAGAUAAUGACUGUACCCGCAGAAGAGCUCCGGCUAACUUCGUGCCAGCAGCCGC